AUUAUAUGAUGAAUACUUAUAAGCUUGAUAAAUCGUGGAAGUAAAAAGCUGAUUUAAUGAGCCUGAUAU
rfam:Apis mellifera strain DH4 linkage group 5, whole genome shotgun sequence.